AUAUCUGUGUGAAAUCAUUUCUGCAGCAGAGGGCACACUGUUCACUGUGUUUCUAUCUGUGGCGUGUAGUGGGCACACCUAGGGUCAAAAAUGGAGGGUGACAGAAAAGGAAGAAGAAACAGUGAAGAUAAGAAAUCUUCUACAAAAUCUGUGCUUUAUACGGUGGGCGGUACCGUGGGAGCAGUCACUUUGGCGGCCUCAGGAGUGAAUCCUUUGGUUGUCCCGGUUGCAGCGGCAGCAAUGGGAAUUGGAUAUUUGGUUCGGAAAGCAGCAGAGAAACUGAGCUAAAGUUAACGUAAUUGGUGCAUUUUUUAAUUAAUAAUAUAAUAUCCAGUCUGCAAUUAUGUAUGUUAUAUUUUUACACAAGUGUUUGGACAAUAUAACCAAGAUUAAACAACACUGAAGAAGACAUGGCUCAAUAUUUACCCUAAAGUCUGAUGAAGAGGAGUUAUAAUAGUCAGAAUGGGCAUUUCUUAUGUUUGGGAAGAUGUUUACAAGUUUGCAAGUUAGGGACAAGUUAUAACACGACUUAAAUCUCACAAGAAUCAAUUUCGUGUAAUAUAUGUAUGACCUUUAAGGAAGUUACAUACUGCAACUUUAGGGAUGCUCUGUAAGACUUGGUUAGCAUCUGUACAGACACGCAUUGACUUGGUUGAGCGUGUUCCAAGUCAAAUCAGUGAAAUGGCUCCCCUGCCUCGUCCCACUGCCUGAUAGCCUCUCAACAGCUCCUCAUUAUCCACGCUGCUGCAGUUUGAGUUUGAUUGAUCGCUCAUAAAACAUGCAUGACCCUUAUGAAUUAUUGUGAGAGAACAUCCAAUAAAUUGUUUUAGAUGGCUUAUUACAACAACGUAACCGGGCUGGCAUAUUAAAUUAUUUGCAAUCGUGUAAAUCAUAGAAUCAAUUUGAAAAUAACCCCAUUAAAAGACAUCGUGGUGACGUUGCUCCACUUUUGCUACAACUGAACCAACUCCGGCCACAGAGGGGAUUUUUGUCAUCAAUCAAAAGGUAUUAGAACGCUAAUAAGAUGUUAGCUUAAAGUGGGAAGGGGGAAGGAACGAGUGUGCGGUCAGGGGUAAAGCCGUUUCGAAAAUGUAAUCUAUAAUGAGAAGAGAGGUGACAAUCUCAGACUAUUAUUUUAGUGUAAGAAAAGUAAAAGAAAAAAUAAUAAUAAAGUCUUCUGAUCAGGCUAUAAUGUUGUUUCCUCAUCACAAACAUACCUGGAGUUGUGUUUUGUUUCAUUCAUACAUGUUGAACACACAAACUCUGCAUAUUUAGGCUGAGUUCUUGUCUCAUACGGAAAACACUCUGUUCCACCUUGUGAUGUCAUCAUGUGUUAAUACAGGAAGUGCUCCAUUGUGUUUUUAAACUCCAUACAUCCUCACUUGAAUCAUUUGGAUCAUUCCAGCCCAGGAAUUUCAGUCUCUACUGAACUAAAGGGAAAAACGUAGCUGUUGACUUGAAAUAUCACUUCAUGACAUCGCAAGGUGGAACAGGACAUUUUAAAAAAUGUAG